UGAUAGAGCGAAUAACCAAGUUAGGCUUUCAGAUUCUAGUAGUGAUGUCAGUAUGACAUAGAACAUCAGAAGGGAAGAGUGAGGCUCAACCCAUUCCGGUCUCAGUAUUUUUCAGUUAUCCUAAUACCUACUCAUACCUCACGUUUCAGUUCCAUGAUCAUAGUUCAUGUUCAUGUAUAUGAUAGAAAAUCACGUGCUCUUCCAGA
rnacentral:lncRNA from 1 species